GCAAAGAUUUGGUCCUGGUCUUAUUGUCAGUUAUCUCUUGAUUUACACAUGCAAGUCUCAGCACACCCGUGAGGACGCCCUUCCCCCUUCUAUAGGACAAGGAGCUGAUAUCAGGCACACCAACCGCCCACAACAUCUAGUCCGACCACACCCCCAAGGGUAUUCAGCAGUGAUAAAUAUUGAUCAUAAGCGACAGCUUGACUCAGUUAAAGAGAAGAGGGCCGGCCAACCCGGUGCCAGCCGCCGCGGCUAAACCCUAGGGCCCAAAUUGAUAAAACUCGGCGUCAAUCGUGAUUAAAGUCUUCUAAAAUUAGAGUGGAACCUACUACUAAGCCGUGAAAAGCAAUUUUUUUAGGGAAAGUCAGAAACGAAAGUUACUCUAAUGCACACUUGAACACACGACAACUG
rnacentral:rRNA from 1 species